GGAAGGCAGGGCGUUGGUUACACAGGUGAUGGACGGGGAGAGAAGCCAACAGCAUGGCUGCACCAGUGGAUCAGACCUGGAGAGUAACACCAGCACAUGAGAGUCAGGAGGAGCAGGAGCUGAGAUGAGACGAGGAUGCAAAAGUGAACAGAACCUUCAGAUUCCGCUCCGAGGGGACUGCAGAAACUGAUGAGAUCUCUGCCGGACACAGUGAAGCCGGAGGAGGCGUUCAAAGGACUGCAGAGGGAAGACACCCUGAGCCGUGGAGGACACAUAACCUCGC
rnacentral:lncRNA from 1 species